GUGUAACAAGGUUUCCGUAGGUGAACCUGCGGAAGGAUCAUUG
rnacentral:rRNA from 1 species